rnacentral:misc_RNA from 1 species
GAUGAAGAACGUAGUGAAAUGCGAUAAGUAAUGUGAAUUGCAGAAUUCAGUGAAUCAUUGAAUCUUUGAACGCAUCUUGCGCUCCUUGGUAUUCCUUGGAGCAUGCCUGUUUGAGUAUCAUGAGCAAAUCUCAAAGUCAAUUCCUUUUGUUGAUUCAAUUGGUUUUGCUUUGGACUUGGAGGCCUUGCAGAUUUCACAGUCUGCUCCUCUUAAAUGCAUUAGCUGGAUCUCAGUAAUUAUGCUUGGUUCCACUCGGCGUGAUAAGUAUCACUCGCUGAGGACACUGUUAAAAAGGUGGCCAGGAAAAUACUGAUUGAACCGCUUCUAACGGUCUAUUAAGUUAGACAAUUACCCUUAAGUUUGAUCUCAAAUCAGGUAGGACUACCCGCUGAACUUAAGCAUAUCAAUAAGCGGAGGA